UCUGUGAAAUUCCGGGGCUUAACUCCGGGCGUGCAGGCGAUACGGGCAUAACUUGAGUACUGUAGGGGUAACUGGAAUUCCUGGUGUAGCGGUGAAAUGCGCAGAUAUCAGGAGGAACACCGAUGGCGAAGGCAGGUUACUGGGCAGUUACUGACGCUGAGGAGCGAAAGCAUGGGUAGCGAACAGGAUUAGAUACCCUGGUAGUCAAGGGCG
rnacentral:rRNA from 1 species